UACGAAGGGGGCUAGCGUUGUUCGGAAUUACUGGGCGUAAAGCGCUCGUAGGCGGACUAUUAAGUCAGGGGUGAAAUCCCGGGGCUCAACCCCGGAACUGCCUUUGAUACUGGUAGUCUCGAGUCCGGAAGAGGUGAGUGGAAUUCCGAGUGUAGAGGUGAAAUUCGUAGAUAUUCGGAGGAACACCAGUGGCGAAGGCGGCUCACUGGUCCGGUACUGACGCUGAGGUGCGAAAGCGUGGGGAGCAAACAGG
rnacentral:rRNA from 1 species